rnacentral:rRNA from 1 species
AUAGGAGAGCUACUGUUAUUCUGAGCAGAUCAAUUUUUUUCUCUUGUAGCAAAAAGAAAAAAGAAGUAACAUUAGAGACUAAAUAUCAUUCGCGCCUAUCUAUAGCUGGGUGUUUUCUAAAAGUAUAAAAGUACUAUUUUCCUAAAGGAAAAUUUAGUUUUUUUAGGACAAGCUAAAAAAACUAAAUAGCAAUGAGUUAAACAAUUUAAAAAAUUAAGAUAAGCUUAAAAACGGUUAGAUUAAAAAAUCCAGUAAAAGGGUAAAUAAAAUUAAAAAGAUAAUUUUGAUUAUAAUUCAUGCUUAAGCAUAGAAAACAUUUAAAAAGAACAUGUUUUUUAAGUUAAAAUGGUAAGCAUAAGUAAAAAAAGUUUAAAUAAAUAAUUAACUAUUUAAAUAAAAUUAACAAAGGAACUCGGCAAAAAAGAGCAAAGACUGUUUAACAAAAACAUAGCUUCUAGAAUUUAUUAGAAGUGUAAUCCUGCCCGGUGAAAGAAAUUUUUAACGGCCAUAACAUUGCUAAGGUAGCGUAAUCAGUUGUCCUUUUAUUGAGGACUAGUAUGAAAGGAAAAACGACGCUCAACUGUCUCUGUUAAUCUAUUAUAAAUUAAUUUUUAGGUGAAAAAGCCUAAAUUUUAUUAAAGGACGAGAAGACCCUAUAGAGUUUUAAUGCAAUGUUUAAAUUUUAUAAAAUAAUUGAAGCAAAGCGUUUUAGUUGGGGCAACAUAGGAACAUUUAAUUUCCUAUAUUUAAAUUUUAUAAUUUUAAAGAACACAAAUCCUUAAAAAGAAAAAGAAAAACUACCUUAGGGAUAACAGCGUAAUUUUUCUAAAGAGAUC